AACGAACGCUGGCGGCAUGCCUAACACGUGCAAGUCGAACGAGAUCCUUCGGGGUCUAGUGGCGCACGGGUGCGUAACGCGUGGGAAUCUGCCCUUAGGUUCGGAAUAACAGUUAGAAAUGACUGCUAAUACCGGAUGAUGACGUUAAGUCCAAAGAUUUAUCGCCUGAGGAUGAGCCCGCGUAGGAUUAGCUAGUUGGUGUGGUAAAGGCGCACCAAGGCGACGAUCCUUAGCUGGUCUGAGAGGAUGAUCAGCCACACUGGGACUGAGACACGGCCCAGACUCCUACGGGAGGCAGCAGUGGGGAAUAUUGGACAAUGGGCGCAAGCCUGAUCCAGCAAUGCCGCGUGAGUGAUGAAGGCCUUAGGGUUGUAAAGCUCUUUUACCCGAGAUGAUAAUGACAGUAUCGGGAGAAUAAGCCCCGGCUAACUCCGUG
rnacentral:rRNA from 1 species